GAUCUGUUAGCUCAGCUGGUAGAGCAUCUCCCUUUUAAGGAGAGGGUCCAGGGUUCGAGCCCCUGACAGAUCACCA
rnacentral:tRNA from 1 species